CGAAGCUUUCAGCUUCCAGGGAAGGGAAGGACGAGAACUUCGCCGAAAACCCUUACGGUGGUUCCGAUCUCCGUAACUUCUCCGUCCGAGCUCCGAUUGUCGCACCGUUUGCGGCCACUCGUCCACCGCGUCGAGCUCUACAUUUCUAAUGGAACAAUUUUAUUGGAUCCAAUUAGCUUGAGGAAAACAUUCACUCUUGCUUAUGUGAAGCUUGGGUUGAAAAUAAAUAAUUGGAGCUUGAAAUUGUGAAUACUGGAACUUGGAGGAAGCGAAUUAGUUGAGGUUUUGAGGGCUGAGUUGUUUUAGAAAAAUUGUCUUGGAAUAAUACUUGGGAAUCAGCUAAGACUCAUGGGGAUGCAUGUCGGGGGACAGUCUAAGUGCAAUUCAGAAUUGUCGGGUUGGCUGGAUAACCGACAGAUGAGCCUCAUCAGCCAUAGGACAGGUAUGCAUCAUAUGCAUAUUACUUGAACUACUUGCUUGUGCUUUAAUUGGGUGUGCCUAAAUGUAUUUGCCAUGCUAAAUGUAUAUUUGUUACCUGCGGUAUUUGUAACCUUCCUAUGCUUGCCUUUAUCUGUUUAUUUGUCUGUGAAAUACUGAAGAAGAUGGAGGUAUGGAGGAAUGGCAGUAUGAGAUUUAGAUUUGAGGUUAAGUUAAGUCAGGUUUACAUAUUCUUAGAAAACCACCUUUUAUGGCUUCUAUUUAAUAUUUUAAGCUCUAUAAUUUGAGAGUUAGCGUUCUAGGAUUGCCUCUGGCAUUCCCAGGGCCUUAUAUAUUAUGUGUGUGGCAUCUUUACCAUACUGAGAACCUCUGGUUCUCAUUCCAUACUAUGUUGUUGUUUUUCAGAUGUAGGUCGAGAGGCAUCUCGUUAGGCAUCUGGACCCUUGAAGCGGAGUGGUUACAUGGUUAUUUUGUUAUGCUAUGAUGUGUAUAUAUGUACUUAGCUUUCUCUCUGCAUAACUUGUUCUUUUGAUCCUCCUAGAGGUUUAUGGAGAGGCAGGAUUGUGUAUAUGUACUUUUAGGUUUUUGGAAUAUGUAUGUAUAUAUGUGUAAAUAUUCUCCGGCCAGUCUUGACUUUGCAGGCUGAGUUAAGAGCUUGUUAUUUUGUAUCUUUGGCACUCUAUUCCUACUUCUGUUAUCUUAUGUUUGACAGUUACGGUUUUCUUAGCACGCAAGUUAACUCGUUUCUUGAGCGUUGCGCUUUUAUCUCGCAAUUUUUAUUUCCCCUAUUCUUCAAGGCUCCUAGCAUAUUAUAAUUUUUCUGCUAUUAUAUGUACUCAUUUUAUUUUAGAGGUCGUAAUACCACACCACCUUUGUUUUACGACUUAAGCGUAAAGCAUAGUGUGGUAGGGUGUUACAUUAUGGUAUCAGAGCAGUUCGUUCCUAUAGAGCUGACAAACCCCGUUUUGACGGUUUAUCUUGUAGUGAUUUUAAGAGAUUUUAUCACCUUUUACCCACAUUUAUUCAAUGAAAUAGCAUGGUUUUGUGAUUGUCUCCUUAUUUGUGCUUAGAUGUGAAAACAUGCUUUUAGACCCUUAAUUUGAUGGUUUUAAUCUCCCUUUGAUUCCACUAGAUGCCUUGAUAUGUUUGCUAGUGAUUUCAGAUUGAAAAGGCUAGGAAUGGAUCAAAGGAGUGAAAAGGAAAGCAUGCAAAGUGGAGAAAUGAUGAAAAGCCAAAGAAGUUGAAAUCGCCCAUGGACGUGCACGCGCACCUGGCGCUUGCGCGCACCUGCGAAUCACUCCAUGGACGCGUACGCGUGCUGUGCGCGUACGCGUCGGUGUUGGUUUAUGAUUUUUAAUGAAAACGUGGCCAACGAAUUCUGAAGGGUUGUGGGGCCCAAUCCUAACCAAAUUUGGCGCCAAAGAUGCUAUUUAAAGCCAAGGAUUGAAGAGCAAAGGAGAUUCCAACUCAUUAGUUCAUUACACACACAUUAGGAUUAGUUUAAAAGUAGUUUCUAGAGAGAGAAGCUCUCACUUCUCUCUAGAAUUAGGAUUAGGAUUAGGUUUAGUUCUUAGAUCUAGAUUUUAAUCUUUGCUUUCUUCUACUUCUACAUUUCAAUUCUUUGUUGUUAGAUUCACCUUCUUCUACUCUUUUGUUGUAAUUGCUUUUAUGUUGUUCUUACAUUUUGUUGUAGAUCUAGUA